CGUGGGUGCUUACCUGCAGUCGAACGCUGAAGCACCAGCUUGCUGGUGUGGAUGAGUGGCGAACGGGUGAGUAAUACGUGAGUAACCUGCCCUUGACUCUGGGAUAAGCCCGGGAAACUGGGUCUAAUACUGGAUGCUACAUGUCACCGCAUGGUGGUGUGUGGAAAGGGUUUACUGGUCUUGGAUGGGCUCACGGCCUAUCAGCUUGUUGGUGAGGUAAUGGCUCACCAAGGCGACGACGGGUAGCCGGCCUGAGAGGGUGACCGGCCACACUGGGACUGAGACACGGCCCAGACUCCUACGGGAGGCAGCAGUGGGGAAUAUUGCACAAUGGGCGAAAGCCUGAUGCAGCGACGCCGCGUGAGGGAUGACGGCCUUCGGGUUGUAAACCUCUUUCAGCAGGGAAGAAGCCACAAGUGACGGUACCUGCAGAAGAAGCGCCGGCUAACUACGUGCCAGCAGCCGCGGUAAUACGUAGGGCGCAAGCGUUGUCCGGAAUUAUUGGGCGUAAAGAGCUCGUAGGCGGUUUGUCGCGUCUGCUGUGAAAGCCCGGGGCUUAACCCCGGGUGUGCAGUGGGUACGGGCAGACUAGAGUGCAGUAGGGGAGACUGGAAUUCCUGGUGUAGCGGUGGAAUGCGCAGAUAUCAGGAGGAACACCGAUGGCGAAGGCAGGUCUCUGGGCUGUUACUGACGCUGAGGAGCGAAAGCAUGGGGAGCGAACAGGAUUAGAUACCCUGGUAGUCCAUGCCGUAAACGUUGGGCACUAGGUGUGGGGGACAUUCCACGUUUUCCGCGCCGUAGCUAACGCAUUAAGUGCCCCGCCUGGGGAGUACGGCCGCAAGGCUAAAACUCAAAGGAAUUGACGGGGGCCCGCACAAGCGGCGGAGCAUGCGGAUUAAUUCGAUGCACGCGAAGAACCUUACCAAGGCUUGACUAUAC
rnacentral:rRNA from 1 species